GGAGGAGGAGCCGCAGCAGAACCACACGGUUUUCCCGCCUGCCCGCUGAGUCUGCAGCCCCCCUGGCCCUGGCAGCAUCGACCCCCCCCAGAUCCCACAGAAUUUGUCUCAAACUUUGUCCAGAUGGAGCUGGAGGAGGCUGCGAGGAAAAGGAAGAUGGUGUGGGACACUGAGGCAGGCACUGAGCUGCAGAUGGAGACCAGGGAGAGCAAAUCCCUGCUGCAGAGCCUCAUGGAAGAGGCCAUUUGGAGCAGCUCCAUGGCACAGGAAUCCUGUUGGGAGGAAAAGCCCUGGAGAUGUCACACAAGGAGGGGCUGCAAACCCGGGAGCUGUGAGGAGGAAAGGUGCCCCUUGUGUCUGGAAGGUGGCCAGAGAUCCAUUUGGAACUCAGAGGUGGUGGAGGCAACUCAUGGCAGGCAGAAGCCCCACAAGUGCUUGGAAUGUGGAAAGGGCUUCAGCUGGAGCUCUGGAGCUCAGCCCUGAUCCGGCACCAGGUGAUCCACAUGGGGAAACGGCCCUACCAGUGUGGGGAGUGUGGGAAGAGCUUUGGGUGGAGCUCCAAGCUCAUCAAUCACCACAAGAUCCACACCGGGGAGAGGCCCUAUGAGUGUCCUGAGUGUAGGAAGUGGUUUCUGAGCAGCUCCAAUCUCAUUGUAAUGAAUCAAGGGGUCAGCUGGAAAUGUGUUUAGGAUAAUUGAAAACUGUGGAUAAAUUGAGGGGACAGCUGGGAGUAUAAUUGAGAUAGUAGAAGAUUACAUAUUUUAGUUAAGAUUUUAAAAUUAGUUAAGAAGCUAAGUUAGCUAGCAAAAAUCACAUACCUUAGUUAAAGAGUAACAAAUAUAUUAGAAAAUUAAAGCUAGGAGUGACAGGGAUAGAUGUAGCAAUUGUGAAGGAGCAGAGACCAUAGAAAUACCUUGCCUUAAGAAUAAUCAAACAGUUAGGAGAGGCUUGGACCAUGCCCAGCAGAUCAAAAAGUCCUGCAAAAUGGCCAUCGGUGAAGAGUUUACCAUGAGGAACACAUCUUUCUUCCUCCCAUACACCCACUACCUUAUUUCAAAAUCCCAUUUAAGGGAGUACAGUUGUGCAGCCGUUAUAGGUAUUCAGCUGAUUGCAAUACGAAGCGGGCAGGUAACGAUUAUGUAUUCUGCCUCCUUAGAAACCGCUUGGAUAUGUAAAACCUUUUCUGUAUAAAUAGACAGCAGGAGUCUGCAACUCCUUGCACAUGUAUUUGGAAAAGAUUCCACAUGUGUCCAGCGCUGUGAUAAAAUAUCCUUCUUUUCAACUUUAAUUAGUUAAAGCGUCCUCUGUCCACCUGCUCGCUCUGAUUGGCUGACUCUUGUUCAUCCCAUUCGCUGAUUGGCUGAGGAGAGGCCCGGCAGUGAGAGAAGGAACGGGAGAGAUCCCGCCCCGAGCACCGGCACGGGGACAACAGAGCCAGCCUGGGCACAGCGAGGGAAUUUAUUACCAACCAAACCACAGCAGCACGAGGAGAAGGGAAAGGAAUCUCUCCAGCACCUUCCCUGUUGCCCUGAUUUUUUAAGAUUUUUCUAACCCUUCUGAUGUUUGCAUUCUUGUAACGCACUU